AUCGAAACGAACUAGAUCGUACUCGCGACCAUCCAUUUUCGGUUUAUCGUGGAAACACACCGAAAUUUUUCAAUCUGAGUAUAUGAUCGGGACAUCGCCUGUUGUUUAGCGAUCACACAAAGGCUGGUAGAAUUUCUGAUUUCGUCGCAGACUAGCAGAGUUUCUCUGAGCCCCUGGCAAAUUUAUACAGUCUGGAUCGGAAAUGGUAGGCCAACGUACCUAAGGAUUUGAUUGGGGUAAGUUUCUUUUAUUAAUUUACUUCUUAAUAAAGGCAGCUUGUUUCGACGAUUCCUGUGGCCACCAAUUUAACCUUUUUGUGGUUGUUUUUAAUUUCAGGGAUGGGAAAAACUUGCACUAAACGUAUUUUAUCUUAUCUUAUCUUCUAGUUUUUUAUUAUAAGUUUUAAAUUCAAGCCAUAGCAAAAUUUAGUUCAUAUCUUUUAUUUAAAUAUAUUUCUUUUACCACAUUUUCAUACACAUCAUUUUUUAAACUUUCAUAUAGGGUGUUUUAUUUUAUUUGUACGAAAAUUUAUAUACUAAGAUACGAUCUGAUUGUUUCGAGUUAUCUAUUUACUGUUUGUAUAAAUUGAUGUAGUAAAUUUUGAUUUACCAUUUUAAUAUGUAAAAUGUUGUUAUAAUAUUUGGAAAAUUUUUAGAAUGAAAUAUUACUCAAAUUUUCAAAUAGUGAAGAUUCUAUUUUAUCUUUUCUAGUAUCAAUUCAUUCAACUUUUCAACAUCCUAGUCAAUAUUUCAUCAUACUAAUCCUAACAUAGUUAGAAUAAUUAACCAGAACAAUAAUUGUAAAUAUUAAUUUUAAAUCUGUACAUUACAUGCUAAAUCACCGACAAUCAGAUUGAGUAUUCUCCAACACUCAUCCUUGUAUAUAUCCUACCUGCUUAUAUCUUUUAUUCUCUAUUUUUCAAACUUACAACACCACGCAACACCACGGAUCUUCUGACCAAGACAACACCGUAUUGGAUUCAGGGCAUCUCACCUUAAUAUACCAGGGAGGAGGUUGUCAUGGAAUCUGUCACCCGAUAACCAUUGGCCAUCUCUACCAGACAGACGACUAUUACGUCAACACCCCCCUUUGAUUCUAGAUAUAACAACGUAAGACCCAUCCAAUUUUUUACCCGAUCUUGUCAGAAGUGAAACCCACAUCAGUUUUGUUGUUUUGUUUGUAAAAGUGUGAUCAAGUAGAGAUAUUUAACUCAAAGUUAAUCUGUUGUGUAAAUUAUUGUCGGACAUUUCAAUCCUAAUUGUAAAUUGAUAAAAGUUGCUCCUAGCGAUUAUUUGUAAAACUAGCCAUUUACUAACCUUUUAUUGUAGUAAAGUGAUUUUAAGUA